rnacentral:rRNA from 1 species
CCUACGGGAGGCAGCAGUGGGGAAUUUUGGACAAUGGGCGCAAGCCUGAUCCAGCCAUUCCGCGUGAGUGAAGAAGGCCUUCGGGUUGUAAAGCUCUUUCGCGAGGGAAGCGGUACCUUGAUAAGAAGCACCGGCUAACUACGUGCCAGCAGCCGCGGUAAUACGUAGGGUGCGAGCGUUAAUCGGAAUUACUGGGCGUAAAGCGUGCGCAGGCGGUUUUGUAAGUCAGAUGUGAAAGCCCCGGGCUCAACCUGGGAACUGCGUUUGAAACUACAAGGCUAGAGUAUGGCAGAGGGGGGUAGAAUUCCACGUGUAGCAGUGAAAUGCGUAGAGAUGUGGAGGAAUACCAAUGGCGAAGGCAGCCCCCUGGGUCAAACUGACGCUCAUGCACGAAAGCGUGGGGAGCAAACAGGAUUAGAUACCCUUGUAGUC